GCCUCUCACCGCAGCGCAGCAGGGACGAGGGCCCGUGAGGCGGCCGGCAGCCAGGCUGAAGAAGCCGGAGCCGACCUCUGCAUGGGUGAGGUGCGGUACCUCCCGCGGCCCGCGGCCUCCCGCCUCCCCAGGUCGGAGAAAGGAAUGUGUAGGCGCCUGCCGGGGCUCUCGGACCGAGGGCCUGGGCCGGCUUCCUCCCAGGAUGCGGAGGCGCGGGGGUUGGUCUCUGCCGCCGGGCGUGGCAGGGUCAGCAGCAACCAAGCUCCGGGAGCCGGUGACCUGGUCAACUGAAUCAGCCCCUGGGAUGAGGAGUAGGAGCCAAGUGGGAUCGGCCGCCGUGCCUCCAUUCCCCCGCAUACGCCAGGGCGGCUCCGCGGCCGCUGGUGGAGGUAGUUCAGCUCCCUAACCGACCCUGCAGAGGCGGCUCCUGGGUUCAGGUAGUUGAGACCCGAUUGCACUUCUAGGUGACCAUGGAGGGUGCAACAUAGGCGCCUUACCUGUGGGGCGGCGUGGCGAGGUGCGGGCGACUGCCUGCUCCAUCCUGCUUGCUUCACCCAUCGCCGCUGCCUUGGCCUUCCUGCGAGGUAAGAGAUCUUUCUCCCUUUGGGGAGACUUAAGAGGAGACCUGCAUUUCCCCAGACACUCGCCCCGCCCGGACCCCACCACCUCGAAAGUUAAGAGACUGUUGAAUACUUAUAAAUUUUCUGUCCCUUGAAUUUCUGUGACAGUGCAAGACACUUUUUUCCUCUUGAUUUGAUAUAUUUUCCACUGACAUUAAUAAAAGUUGGAAACAAUGUAUUUAGUAUUUACCCUGAAUUUGAAUAUUUUAUGAAACAAGUUUGUACAGAAAGCCCACCUUGGAAUUCUGAAGGCUUAUUUCCUUAUUCAGUAGCUUGAAUUUUAAACCUCUAAUUAGCAUGCAGUAGAUUUAAAUUGAGAAAAGACUUAAUAAAUCAAUUAAGCAUUCUCUAAGGGUGAUCAUUUUAUAUUACAGUCAUCAGACAAUCCUCUCAGUUCAGCCAAUGAUCCAUAAAUGAUAGCUACCCCAAAGUUGUUUAGUGUACAUAGAAAAUAAAGAUGUAGAGCCAGUUGUAUCGUUUCUAAGAAGGCUCGAUUUUAGUAUAUGUUACUAUUUGAAAAUUUAAAGUUCUUGCAAAGAGUAGAUGAGUGUAACUUCAUAAGAGAAAGGGAAUAUUUGAUUCUCAGGAAAAAAAAAAAUUGCCUUCCUGCUAAAAGUAGCACAAACCCACUUAUGAGUCAGUUAAAAAAAAUUGAGUUGGCAAAACCCCAGAGUAUCUGUGCAGAUAGUAGCAAUCUCCCCACAUCCUUCUUCAGUGUCUCUUUCUAGAAGAGUGUAGAAUAAAGGGGCCAUGCUGACUCUCUAGGUACUCCUUACCAGAGGAGACAAAACCCCUAACCCAAGUGCUCUGUAUUACUUGGAUGACUGGAGCUCAAGAGAAGGCGAGGAAGUGUGCAAGCAGAGCCAGUUAUAGUACAAAGAAUUUGAGAGGGACCAUGGAAGGGUUUUCUUCAUCACUUCUUACCUUCUUUGUGAUGAUAAGUGUGGAGCUUAUAACAGUGCUAUUUUUCUCUGAAUAGGAAAGGCAAUUAAAGUCAGAAAUAAAUGACUUGCCAGUGUCAUGUUUUAUUUUUAUUAAAGAUUUUGUAAAUAACUUCCACUGAGAUCAAUCUUUAUCCCAUAUUUUGCUUAGUUUCCAAUAGUAUUCUUUAUUGUCUUCUGUCCUUAAUUGCCUUUGCAUUUUGUACAUUUUAUUACUCAGGUUUGGAACUCAUCACAUUUAUAAGAUCUCCUGCAAAGAGCCAAGAAAAGCUCUUUUUCAAGUGCCUCCUCAAAGAGCUUACCCCUCAUUUUGUGCCUGUGGCAGAGUUGUACAGAACAGCUAGAUGGAGUAGUACAUAAAAGAAGAAAGCAAAGAUGUUGAACGCCUUCUACAUUUAUUUCUCUUAAUCUCAGAAUCACACUUUUGGUUCAAACCGGACUUAUUGUUUUGUUAUAUUGUUUUUUAUCCAACCAGUAUGAAGUUGUUAAAAUCAAGGGAAUGGGCCCUAACCAAAAAGAAGUCUCAGUGCAGAAAAAUAAGUCCCCAAUCGUGGGGUUGUUACUUUCUGGGGGUUGUACGUAUUAUGUCUAACACCAACUCUAACAUGUGUCACUAUGUAAAAUCUUAUAAACCUCUCACCUUCUCUAUUUUUCAUUGCCAAAGUCUUUGUCAAAAAUCCAAAUUUGUUGAUAAAAGCUUGCACUUUCCAUUCUCAUUAUAAAAAAAAAAAACUGUGAUGCCUCAGUUUCCUCUUCUUCAAAUGGUAAGAGUUAUGAUUUGUAGAAAUUGUGGCCCCAUUUGUUUGGUGCAGACACUGAACAGCUGUUUGCUGCUGUAUCAACAUUGUUAUGAGAAAUCAUGGGGUCACUGUCUUUCUUCAUAUCAACUAAUGGGACAGAAGCACUCCUGUCUCCAUUUCAUAGAUAAAAAAGCUGUAUGAUGUCCUGCCAGUAGGUGAGGGGACUUCUCCCUUCUCCAGUGAUAGAUGUGUUCAAUAGUGCCAGGAUUUUCUGGGCAUGCCCUUUUUACUCAUUUACCUGGGGACAUCUCAUGGUUGGAUGGCAUGGUGACAUUGUUUUCAGCUUGCCAUCCGGCCUCCUAAUUCUCCCCAGCCUAAUGGAGUCAGGUGAGGAGGAUAUCCACUGUAUCAGCAUCUAUAAAAUGCCAACUUAGUUCCUUCAUUGUCCCCAGAGAAUUUAUGCACUUAAAAUGUCAGGGACACUCAGAGGUAUGGAAUUCAGGAGUCCACAGAGAGGAUACAAGCUGUGCUGAAUUUCUGCUGCACUCCUUCCCUGCACAAAUCCUGGACAUGCCUGGGGCAGAUAUUUCCCAGGGAGAUUACACAGAGGAGUUUGAGAGCUUCCAAUUUUGGAGACCAACCAAGGCAGGUUUCCCCAAGAGAUUCUCAGAACCACUGCAUCUGACCUAGAUGCAUGUCAAAAUGGCAUUCCCCAGGUUGGUUUCCUCUGGAAAGACCAGGUAGUCAAUGCAUUGAGGAGAUAUGCUAAGCUCAAGAGCAAAGCAGUCCCAUUAAUAAAUAGGCUCUCAGCUCUGGAUACUCAUUCUGGGAAGACAAUCCACAAAUAUUUUGUUUUUCAUUAUGAACGUAAUACAUAGUUGUUUUUGUUUUUGUUUUUUUUUUCUAAAUAGAGGAAAGUUGAAAGAAGCAAUAAAAUACUUUGUCAUACCACCAAAGUGCCACUGUACCCACCUCUAUGGAUCAAGCUGUUGUAUUAAUUAUAAAAAAUAAAUUCUUUCAUUAUGCAUGGCUAAAUAUUUAAAGAGAAUCUUGGAUGAUAUGCACCCAGAACUGAGUUGGACACUGUGGGAGUUACAGGAGGAUUUUGGUUGGGACUUAAUUUUGAGAAAUUUGCAAAAUAAAUAGGAGAUCACAUACAUCCAGGGAAAGAAUGACUUGAAAAUGAAGGACUGAAUUAUUCACCCUGACUGACAGGAACACCCAUGGGCAGAGGAGUCAUAGGAGAAAAUUAUUCUUGAAGGAUGGAAAACAGUCUCCUCACAGGCCCACUUUGCCACCCAUGCCAUGCC
rnacentral:lncRNA from 1 species